rnacentral:rRNA from 1 species
CGUGUCCUACGGGACGCAGCAGUGAGGAAUAUUGGUCAAUGGGCGGGAGCCUGAACCAGCCAAGUCGCGUGAGGGAAGACGGUCCUAUGAAUUGUAAACCUCUUUAAGCGGGGAGCAAUGCCGGGCACGCGUGCCCGGAGGGAGAGUACCCGCAGAAUAAGCAUCGGCUAACUCCGUGCCAGCAGCCGCAGUAAUACGGAGGAUGCGAGCGUUAUCCGGAUUUAUUGGGUUUAAAGGGUGCGUAGGCGGAUUUUUAAGUCAGCGGUAAAAUGUCCGGGCUCAACCCGGGCCGGCGGUUGCAACUG